GAGCUGCCGCGGGGGUCUCUGGCUGCGGGGCCGGAGGGGCGCAGUUGUCCCGCCGUGCAGAAGGUGGGCGACUCACCGCUUUGGGACGGGGUUGGUGGCACAGCUGAAGCGAAAGGGCAAGAAGGAGAGGGCACUGCGGAGCGGUUCUCGGCUGAUACUUUUGGGAAAAGCGACAACACUGACUCCUUGUCAGGCCCAAUAGGACCACACAUGGAAUGCAGCUUCCAGCAUCCUGAGUGAUAUUUGACAGUGGGAGAAAGAAUUAAGUUUCGUGACAACUGAUGUCUGAAUAGAAGAGCCCACAUUAGAGCCCCAGACCCAGCAUCUUGGCUAAAGAGACCCCUGGGCAGCUCCCCAUCCAGCCCUGCACUCAGUUUGGAGGGAGGCACAGCAUGUGCUGCCUCUUGUCCAGCAUGGGAUGGGCCAGCUGUGCAACAGGGGACUCCAGGGACGGAGGAGGAAGAGAAGAGUGCAAAAGCUGCCUGUGGCUGCAAGGGCAGUGCAAGUUUGGAUGACUAGAAGGUGAACCCAGCAUGGUGACACAGACCUCCUGCUUACAAAUAGACUGCCAUUUCAAAAUCACUAAGGAUACUUUUUAAAGAAGAAAGUGUGCUACCUCUUAGGUACUACAGAUCUCUACAUUCUUUGCUAAGGAGUAUUUUUAUACUCUGAAUUUAUUAUGGUUUUUUGUUGUUGUUUUUUGUUUUACUUGCAUGAUGUUCCUUUUACAAUAACAAUCAGGCAAAACUUCCAUUUAAGAGAAA